ensembl:lncRNA
CCACUGUCCCCAGGACACCAGGUGCAAGAUGACCAAUGGGUGGCCGCAGUGUGUCCAUCAGCGACCGUCAUGUGACAACAUCCACUGUCCCAAGGACACCUCGUGUCACAUGGUCAGUGGGUGGCCACGCUGUGUCCAGACCAAGGUGGCCCCAAGAAGACCUUCCUGUGCUGACCUCCACUGUCCCCAGGACACCAGGUGUCGCAUGGUCAGUGGGUGGCCGCAGUGUGUCCACAAGCGGCCAUCGUGUGACAAUGUCCACUGCCUCAAGGGGACAAUGUGUCACAUGGUCAGUGGGUGGCCGCAGUGUGUCCAGACCAAGACGUCCAUCAGGAGACCUUCCUGUGCUGACCUCCACUGUCCCCAGGACAUCAGGUGCAGGAUGACCAAUGGGUGGCCGCAGUGUGUCCAUCAGCGACCAUCGUGUGAGGAUGUCCAGUGUCCCAAGGACACCUCGUGUCACAUGGUCAGUGGUCAUCCCAGGUGUGUCCAGACCAAGACGUCCACCAGGAGACCUUCCUGUGCUGACCUCCACUGUCCCCAGGACACCAGGUGCAGGAUGACCAAUGGGUGGCCGCAGUGUGUCCAUCAGCGACCGUCCUGCCAGGAUGUCCAGUGCCAGAAGGGGACAAUGUGCCAGAUGACCAAUGGGUGGCCACGCUGUGUCCAGACCAAGGUGUCCACCAGGAGACCUUCCUGUGCUGACCUCCAGUGUCCCCAGGACACCAGGUGCCAGAUGACCAAUGGGUGGCCCCAGUGUGUCCACAAGCGGCCAUCGUGUGACAAUGUCCAGUGCCAGAAGGGGACAAUGUGCCACAUGGUCAGUGGGUGGCCGCAGUGUGUCCAGACCAAGACGUCCAACAGGAGACCUUCCUGUGCUGACCUCCACUGUCCCCAGGACACCAGGUGCAAGAUGACCAAUGGGUGGCCGCAGUGUGUCCAUCAGCGACCGUCAUGUGACAACAUCCACUGUCCCAAGGACACCUCGUGUCACAUGGUCAGUGGGUGGCCACGCUGUGUCCAGACCAAGGUGGCCCCAAGAAGACCUUCCUGUGCUGACCUCCACUGUCCCCAGGACACCAGGUGUCGCAUGGUCAGUGGGUGGCCGCAGUGUGUCCACAAGCGGCCAUCGUGUGACAAUGUCCACUGCCUCAAGGGGACAAUGUGUCACAUGGUCAGUGGGUGGCCGCAGUGUGUCCAGACCAAGAUGUCCAUCAGGAGACCUUCCUGUGCUGACCUCCACUGUCCCCAGGACACCAGGUGCAGGAUGACCAAUGGGUGGCCGCAGUGUGUCCAUCACCAACCAUCGUGUCUCAACAUCCACUGUCCCCAGGACACCUCGUGUCACAUGGUCAGUGGGUGGCCACGCUGUGUCCAGACCAAGGUGGCCCCAAGAAGACCUUCCUGUGCUGACCUCCACUGUCCCCAGGACACCAGGUGCCAGAUGACCAAUGGGUGGCCGCAGUGUGUCCAUCACCCACCAUCGUGUGACAAUGUCCAGUGUCCCCAGGGCACCCUGUGUCAGGUGACCGCUGGGUGGCCGCACUGUGUCCAUCUCCCCCUGCCCUGCCGGGGCCUGCGCUGCCCACGGAGGGUCCGAGAUGUCCCCGCCCUGUCCUGCUCCGACGUCACCUGCGAGCCCGGUGACACCUGCCAGGUGCUGCAGGGCUGGCCCAGGUGUGUCCCCGAGGUGACCUCGUGUGACAACGUCCGGUGUCCACCUGGAUCCACCUGUCAGAUGGACAGAGACACGUCCAGGUGUGUCCCCACAGCACUGACCUGCCAGGACCUGUCGUGCCCACCUGGACACACCUGUAGAAUGGAGAAAUCCACGCCCAGGUGUGUCCCAAAAACUUUAACCUGCCAGGACCUGUCCUGCCCACCUGGAUCCACCUGUCAGAUGGACAGAACCACGCCCAGGUGUGUCCCCAUGGCUCCAACCUGCCAGGACCUGUCAUGUCCACCUGGACACACCUGUCAGAUGGACAGAACCACGCCCAGGUGUGUCCCCAUGGCUCCAACCUGCCAGGACCUCACCUGUCCACCUGGAUCCACCUGUCAGAUGGAGAAAUCCACACCCAGGUGUGUCCCCACAGCACUGACCUGCCAGGACCUGUCGUGCCCACCUGGAUCCACCUGUCAGAUGGACAGAACACACCCAGGUGUGUCCCCCAAACUUCAACCUGCCAGGACCUCACCUGCCCACCUGGAUCCACCUGUCAGAUGGACAGAGACACACCCAGGUGUGUCCCCAUCAACUCCAACCUGCCAGGACCUGUCCUGUCCACCUGGACACACCUGUCAGAUGGAGAAAUCCACGCCCAGGUGUGUCCCCAUCAAGUUGACCUGCCAGGACCUCACCUGCCCACCUGGAUCCACCUGUCAGAUGGACAGAACCACACCCAGGUGUGUCCCCAAAACUCCAACCUGCCAGGACCUCACCUGCCCACCUGGAUCCACCUGUCAGAUGGACAGAACCACGUCCAGGUGUGUCCCCAUCAAGUUGACCUGCCAGGACCUGUCGUGCCCACCUGGAUCCACCUGUCAGAUGGACAGAACCACACCCAGGUGUGUCCCCAUGGCUCCAACCUGCCAGGACCUCACCUGCCCACCUGGAUCCACCUGUCAGAUGGACAGAGACACACCCAGGUGUGUCCCCAUAACUCCAACCUGCCAGGACCUCACCUGCCCACCUGGAUCCACCUGUCAGAUGGACAGAACCACGCCCAGGUGUGUCCCCACAGCACUGACCUGCCAGGACCUGUCGUGUCCACCUGGAUCCACCUGUCAGAUGGAUAGAACCACACCCAGGUGUGUCCCCAAAACUUCAACCUGCCAGGACCUCACCUGCCCACCUGGAUCCACCUGUCAGAUGGACAGAGCCACGCCCAGGUGUGUCCCCACGGCUCUGACCUGCCAGGACCUGUCGUGCCCACCUGGAUCCACCUGUCAGAUGGACAGAGACA